AUUAAAUAAGUCGAAAUACGUCGUAUAAUAUUGGGGAUAUGGCCCAAAAGUCUCUACCAAGCUGCCGUAAAUAGCUUGACUACGAAGUGUUAAUAUAGGUGA
rnacentral:ncRNA from 2 species